rfam:Salmo salar isolate Sally breed double haploid chromosome ssa18, whole genome shotgun sequence.
AAUGGACCAAUUUGUAAGUCGCUCUGGAUAAGAGCUUCUGCUAAAUGACUUAAA